CAGCCGCCGCGGUAAUACGAAGGGUGCAAGCGUUAAUCGGAAUUACUGGGCGUAAAGCGCACGUAGGCGGAUCGAUCAGUCAGGGGUGAAAUCCCAGAGCUCAACUCUGGAACUGCCUUUGAUACUGUCGAUCUGGAGUAUGGAAGAGGUGAGUGGAAUUCCGAGUGUAGAGGUGAAAUUCGUAGAUAUUCGGAGGAACACCAGUGGCGAAGGCGGCUCACUGGUCCAUUACUGACGCUGAGGUGCGAAAGCGUGGGGAGCAAACAGGAUUAGAUACCCCCGUAGUCCCUGUCUCUUAUAC
rnacentral:rRNA from 1 species